rnacentral:rRNA from 1 species
UACGGGGGGGGCAAGCGUUGUUCGGAAUUACUGGGCGUAAAGGGCGCGUAGGCGGUUUGCUAAGUUGGAUGUGAAAACUCUGGGCUUAACCCAGAGCCUGCAUCCAAAACUGGCAAACUUGAGUACUGGAGGGGAAAGCGGAAUUCCCGGUGUAGCGGUGAAAUGCGCAGAUAUCGGGAGGAACACCAGCGGCGAAGGCGGCGCUCUGGGCCGGUACUGACGCUGAGGAGCGAAAGCGUGGGUAGCAAACAGG